AUAUUCACAAGAGUACAUUUACAAUUAAAUUAGACCUAGCUUUACAGCAGCCGACGGGAGUAAAGUAUACGGGAGUUGUCGAGUAGGUGGCGGUAAUACAACAUGUUGGAUGCCAACCGCUGUUAAACCUCAUCGAAUAUGAAGCAGGCAACCGGGACCUGCCAAACUUUGCUUACGUUACCGCCGCCGUUCGCAAGUUGAGCUGCACAGCACAGCGUGGUACAUUGCUCCCGUUUGAAGAUGGUGCCCCUGCAGUAGUUUUUGUGGGGAAGAGUGAACCUGCACCAUGACUUGCCCUGUCCAGAUCCUAUGCCGGACAGACCGGUCUGUGAGCCUGGUCGUCUUUUUCUGUCUUCUCCAUCGGCAUUACUUUUUUUUAACAAGUGGCUAAUGAAGCAGUGGUAACUGUGGGUCUUCCUGUUCUGUGGCGGUCCUCAUGAGAGCCAGUUUCAUCAUAGCGCUUGAUGGUUUUUGUGACUGCACUAAAAUUAAAAUAAAGUUAUUUAAAU